rnacentral:lncRNA from 1 species
CCGUAACCAUCUUACCACCAACUCUGACACAUACAACGUCGAGAACAUUUCAAACAAAAGCUUCAACUCCAUAUCUCACAGGUAUAAUAUUCAAUAGUAGAUUGGUGUAAGGGGUCUCUCUAUGGAGUUGAGAAAGGGUGUUCACACAAAUAUAUGAGAAGGCAAGUGUUCAUGAACAAGCAACAAACAAGCAUUGAUCUUAUGAUAGGAUCACCAACCAUUGGGAACUCA